UAGGGAAUAUUGGACAAUGGGCGAGAGCCUGAUCCAGCCAUGCCGCGUGCAGGAAGAAGGCCUUCUGGGUUGUAAACUGCUUUUGCCAGGGGAUAAAAAGUCCCUGCGGGGAAAAUUGAAGGUACCUGGUGAAUAAGCCACGGCUAACUACGUGCCAGCGGCCGCGGUAAUACGUAGGUGGCAAGCGUUGUCCGGAUUUAUUGGGUUUAAAGGGUGCGUAGGCGGCCCCAUAAGUCAGUGGUGAAAUACGGCAGCUCAACUGUCGAGGUGCCAUUGAUACUGUGGGGCUUGAGUACAGACGAGGUAGGCGGAAUUGACGGUGUAGCGGUGAAAUGCUUAGAUAUCGUCAAGAACACCGAUAGCGAAGGCAGCUUACUAGGCUGUAACUGACGCUGAGGCACGAAAGUGUGGGGAUCAAAC
rnacentral:rRNA from 1 species